UGAGUUUAUUCCCAUUCAGAAUUUAGAGGCUGGUGGAGACAGAGAGUCUCCUAAAUGGAUGCAAGUCUCCUGAAAGUCUGGGCCGGAAGCCUCGAAACUUUCUGCCACGCAAAGCCCCAGCUAGUCUCCAGGGCUCGGUCCUGGUUCCCUUUGUGCAGGCCCGGAAGUGUCCGCCCGGUUUUCCCACUGCCUGGAGGGGCCCAGGGUCGCGGAUAGACUCGGACAAGGCUCCGUUUACUUUCAGUUUGUCUUAGUUGACUAAUGGCGGGACUGGUUGUAAUGCGUGCUCUGAGAUUUUCUCCAGGAUUUGUCACUUUAAUUUUGCAAUAUGAGAAAGAGAAGCUAACAAAGGAAAGCCUCUUCAAAAAAUGGGAUUUCCUUGGCCUUAGCAGUUCUGGUGUGUUCCACUGCCAACACUAGGUAGGAAAAAUCUGACUUGUGAUGUUGUGAUUAAAUAGCGGCCUGGCUCAAACUGCCCAAAGAGAGGGAAUUCACUAUGAGUUCCACAGUUUUAUCUUGAGGAAGAAACUAG